UGCUGAAUAAAUUUGAACAGAUGAGGAGUCAUUGUUAUCGUCAAUUAAUUUGUAGUGCUCUAAAUAGGGUUUAUCAACGCCAUGCCUAACAAUUAAUUUGUUGGAGUUGGAGGAAUUGUAGGAAAGGUGGGAAUUGAUGAAAGAAGGGGUUGUAAUUAAAGAGUUCCAUGAUUUAGAAACGCACCUGAAUCGAAUUAGGGACUUGACGGGAAGUCUGUGCAGUAUUUUCAGCACCACUUCGUCGGGGAGAUAGUCUGACAU